CACGUAGGGGGCGAGCGUUGUCCGGAUUUAUUGGGCGUAAAGAGCUCGUAGGCGGUUCCGCCAGUCGGGUGUGAAAACUCUGGGCUCAACCCAGAGACGCCACCCGAUACUGCGGUGACUAGAGUCCGGUAGGGGAGUGCGGAAUUCCUGGUGUAGCGGUGAAAUGCGCAGAUAUCAGGAGGAACACCAACGGCGAAGGCAGCACUCUGGGCCGGUACUGACGCUGAGGAGCGAAAGCGUGGGGAGCGAACAGG
rnacentral:rRNA from 1 species